UACGUAGGGGGCUAGCGUUGUCCGGAAUCAUUGGGCGUAAAGAGCGUGUAGGCGGCCCGGUAAGUCCGCUGUAAAAGUCAAAGGCUCAACCUUUGAAUGUCAGUGGAUACUGCCGGGCUAGAGUCCGGAAGAGGCGAGUGGAACUCCUGGUGUAGCGGUGGAAUGCGCAGAUAUCAGGAAGAACACCGAUGGCGAAGGCAGGUCUCUGGGCCAUAACUGACGCUGAGAAGCGAAAGCAUGGGGAGCGAACAGG
rnacentral:rRNA from 1 species